CUUCCUCCCCUCCCUGGCUUUGUAGCGAAGGUCGUGGGAGAAACCCUCUCCCCCCACGCCCUCUUCCAGGAGGGACCAAGCCAGUAAAGUUGUGUAGAAAUUUCUCCAACCACCUGUCGAGCUUCAAUGGAGAACGACAUCUUUCCUAUAUGUCUUAUCCAUAUGCUGCCUGGCAGCUGCUAUGUCCAUAGGAGCAACCAUAUGUUCGUUCCCUCCAGAAGAGUGAUCCCAUCCUCCUGGGGCUAGUGUGGGACGCAGGACAGACCCUCUAGAUCAGGACAUAAAUGAAGGCAGGGAAGGACAGAAGGAGGAAGAGAAAUGACUAUGUAAAAGGCAAAAUUUUGCAUGCACCAGGAUUAAAUAAGA